rnacentral:piRNA from 1 species
UGAGCAUAGGAAGGGUGCACUGAGAAGUGU